CUACGGGUUGUUUUUUUGGGGGGGGGGGAAAAAGUGUUAAUUUGCUUUUUCUUGGUCAAAAAUUCAAAUUUUUUAAUUUUUUUUUUCUUUUUUUGGGGGGGUUAUUUAUUAAUUUGUUUGGGUUUUUAUGUAUUUUUGGAUUUUUUGGGGGGUGGAGCCCCCACAUUUUGGGCAGGAGUUGGACACUUUGGGCAAGCACCAAAUUUUGGGGGUUUAUUUCCUUCCCCUCGCUCAAUAAUCCAAUUUUUAAAUUUUUUUUUAUUUUUUGGGGGGGUUAUUUAUUAAUUUGUUUGGGUUUUUAUGUAUUUUUGGAUUUUUUGGGGGGUGGAGCCCCCAGAUUUUGGGCAGGAGUUGGACACUUUGGGCAAGCACCAAAUUUUGGGGGUUUAUUCCCUUCCCCUCACUCAAUAUUUCAAUUUUUAAAUUUUUUUUUUAAUUUUUUGGGGGGGUUAUUUAUUAAUUUGUUUGGGUUUUUAUGUGUUUUUGGAUUUUUUUGGGGGGUGGAGCCCCCAGAUUUUGGACGGGGGGGGUUGGACUUUGGGCAAGCACCAAAUUUUGGGGGUUUAUUCCCUUCCCCUCACUCAAUAUUUCAAUUUUUAAAUUUUUUUUUUAAUUUUUUGGGGGGGUUAUUUAUUAAUUUGUUUGGGUUUUUAUGUAUUUUUGUAUUUUUGCCCCAGAUUUUGGGCAGGGGAUGGGUUUGAGCGAGCGCCGAAUUUUUGGUGGGGGGAGUUUAUUUCCUUUUUCUUGCUCAAUAAUUCAAAUUUUUAAAAAUUAUUAUUUUUGGGGGGGGUUAUUUAUUAAUUUGUUUGGGUUUUUAUGUAUUUUUGUAUUUUUGCCCCAGAUUUUGGGCAGGGGAUGGGUUUGAGCGAGCGCCGAAUUUUUGGUGGGGGGAGUUUAUUUCCUUUUUCUUGCUCAAUAAUUCAAAUUUUUAAAAAUUAUUAUUUUUGGGGGGGGUUAUUUAUUAAUUUGUUUGGGUUUUUAUGUAUUUUUGUAUUUUUGCCCCAGAUUUUGGGCAGGGGAUGGGUUUGAGCGAGCGCCGAAUUUUUGGUGGGGGGAGUUUAUUUCCUUUUUCUUGCUCAAUAAUUCAAAUUUUUAAAAAUUAUUAUUUUUUGGGGGGGUAUUUAUUAAUUUGUUUGGGUUUUUAUGUAUUUUUGUAUUUUUUGCCCCAGAUUUUGGGCAGAUUUUUGGACAAGUUCGAGCGAGCGCUGAAUUUUUGGUGGGGGGAGUUUAUUUCCUUCUUCUUGCUCAAUAAUUCAAUUUUUAAAUUUUUUUUUUAUUUUUUGGGGGGGUUAUUUAUUAAUUUGUUUGGGUUUUUAUGUAUUUUUGGAUUUUUUGGGGGGUGGAGCCCCCACAUUUUGGGCAGGAGUUGGACACUUUGGGCAAGCACCAAAUUUUGGGGGUUUAUUUCCUUCCCCUCGCUCAAUAAUCCAAUUUUUAAAUUUUUUUUUAUUUUUUGGGGGGGUUAUUUAUUAAUUUGUUUGUUUAUGCAUUUAUUUAUUAAUUUAUUUAUGUAUUUAUUUAUUUUUUGGGGGGGUGGAGCCCCCAGAUUUUGGGCAGGAGUUGGACACUUUGGGCAAGCACCAAAUUUUGGGGGUUUAUUUCCUUCCCCUCACUCAAUAAUUCAAUUUUUAAUUUUUUUUUUUUAUUUUUUUUGGGGGGGUUAUUUAUUAAUUUAUUCGUUUAUGUAUUUAUUUAUUAAUUUGUUUAUGUAUUUAUUUAAUUUUGGGGGGGGUGGAGCCCCCAGAUUUUGAGGAGGGAGGGGGUGAUUCAGGCAGCGCCCAAACUCCGUCGGGAUGAAAUUUUGGGGCUGGAUUUUGGUAAUUUUUUUGGGGAGAAAAGCCCCCAAAUUGGGGGUCAUGAUUUGAGGGGGGGGACACAAAAUUGAAGCUCCACCGGGAUGAAAUUUGGGGGGAAAAGACCCUAAAAAAGCCCCCCCCCCCCAANNNNNNNNNNNNNNNNNNNNNNNNNNNNNNNNNCAUCGGUUUUGGAAUAUUUUUGCCUUUUUUUUUGACAUUUUUGCUUGUUUCCGCCUUUUUU
rnacentral:lncRNA from 1 species